rnacentral:misc_RNA from 1 species
AACGCACAUUGCGCCCGCCAGUAUUCUGGCGGGCAUGCCUGUUCGAGCGUCAUUUCAACCAUCAAGCCCCCGGCUUGUGUUGGGGACCUGCGGCUGCCGCAGGCCCUGAAAACCAGUGGCGGGCUCGCUGUCACUCCGAGCGUAGUAGUUUUACACCUCGCUCAGGGCGUGCUGCGGGUUCCGGCCGUUAAACCCCCAAUUUACCCAAGGUUGACCUCGGAUCAGGUAGGAAGACCCGCUGAACUUAA